rnacentral:rRNA from 1 species
UACGUAGGGGGCAAGCGUUGUCCGGAUUUAUUGGGCGUAAAGAGCGUGUAGGCGGCUUUGCAAGUCCGUUGUGAAAACUCGAGGCUCAACCUCGAGACGCCGGUGGAAACUGCAAAGCUAGAGUCCGGAAGAGGAGAGUGGAAUUCCUGGUGUAGCGGUGAAAUGCGCAGAUAUCAGGAAGAACACCCGUGGCGAAGGCGGCUCUCUGGGCCGUAACUGACGCUGAGGAGCGAAAGCGUGGGGAGCGAACAGG